rnacentral:rRNA from 1 species
AUUGAACGCUGGCGGCAGGCCUAACACAUGCAAGUCGAGCGGAUGAAGGGGGCUUGCUCCUGGAUUCAGCGGCGGACGGGUGAGUAAUGCCUAGGAAUCUGCCUGGUAGUGGGGGAUAACGUCCGGAAACGGGCGCUAAUACCGCAUACGUCCUGAGGGAGAAAGUGGGGGAUCUUCGGACCUCACGCUAUCAGAUGAGCCUAGGUCGGAUUAGCUAGUUGGUGGGGUAAAGGCCUACCAAGGCGACGAUCCGUAACUGGUCUGAGAGGAUGAUCAGUCACACUGGAACUGAGACACGGUCCAGACUCCUACGGGAGGCAGCAGUGGGGAAUAUUGGACAAUGGGCGAAAGCCUGAUCCAGCCAUGCCGCGUGUGUGAAGAAGGUCUUCGGAUUGUAAAGCACUUUAAGUUGGGAGGAAGGGCAGUAAGUUAAUACCUUGCUGUUUUGACGUUACCAACAGAAUAAGCACCGGCUAACUUCG